rnacentral:rRNA from 1 species
UACGGGGGGGGCAAGCGUUGUUCGGAAUUACUGGGCGUAAAGGGCUCGUAGGCGGCCAACUAAGUCAAACGUGAAAUCCCUCGGCUUAACCGGGGAACUGCGUCUGAUACUGGAUGGCUUGAGUUUGGGAGAGGGAUGCGGAAUUCCAGGUGUAGCGGUGAAAUGCGUAGAUAUCUGGAGGAACACCGGUGGCGAAGGCGGCAUCCUGGACCAACACUGACGCUGAUGAGCGAAAGCCAGGGGAGCAAACGGG